GUCUACAGUCAUACCACCCUGAACAAGCCCAAUCCCAUCUGAUCUCAGAAGCCAAGCAGAGUCCAGCCUGGAUAGUACUUGGAUUGGAGACCACCUAGGAAAACCAGGUGCUGUAGGCA
rnacentral:rRNA from 1 species